rnacentral:lncRNA from 1 species
GCUAUGCCACGGUUGCUGGGCACUGGGAUAAUGUAUACAGUCAACAUUCUGAAAUGCUUCUUAAAAGAGCACUUGAAUCAUAACCUAAAUUUUUAGGAGGGGCAGUGAUUUCUUAUCCACCAUAUCUUGAUCAAACUUCAGAUAGCCUUAACCUAAUAUUUGAAAAGUGAAUAGUUUAAACUCAUUUGUUAAGCUGUUCCUUUGCAGUGGGGUAAUAACCAAACAGUGACAACCAAACAGAGAAUUUUGUAAGCAGAACACCUCUGCCGGCAGCGGCAACCCAGGGUGGCAGCUGUUCUGGAUGAAAGUUUAGAUAAAAAGGACCAGGAAUACAGACAAUUUGUCUACACCAUGAGAGAGCAGAAGCCCUGGCAGAUGCUGGGUAUCAGAAGCAUAGAAAUCCAGGCCUAGAAUCUGGGCAACAGACUCAAGUCCUCCAUAGACAGAAGGAAGCUCUACUCCAUCCUAGGCCGAUAAGGGACUUCCUUCAGAAAAGCCCAUCCAGGAGACAGCGGGACAGGGCUGGAGAACGAGAAAACACCUGGUGGGCCAGGAAAGGGGGAGAAGAGGGUUGAACCUGCCCAAUCCAAUGGUUCCCAUUGUCUUCCUUGGACUCACGUUAGAAGCCCUGUUAUGAAUUGAAGAGUGUCCCUUCCAAAGAUGUUAAAGUCUUAGCCCCCAGGACCACCUGUGAAUGUGACCUUUUUGGAAAUAGGGUCUUUGCGUAUGACCAAGUUAAGAUGAGGUCAUUAGAGUAGGUCCUAAUCCAAGAUGACUGAGUCCUUAUAAAAGGGGGAAAUUUGGACUCAGAGACAGACAUAUACGCAGGAAGAACUCCAUGUGAAGAUGAAGGCAGAGAUCGGGGUGAUGCAUCCACAAACCAAAGGAAACCAAAGAUUGCCAGCAACCCACCAGAAGCUGGGAGAGAGGCAUGGCACAAUUUCUCCCUCACAGCCCUCAGAAGAAACCAAUCCUGCUGACACCUUCUAUUGGACUUCUGGCCUCAAGAACUGUGAGACAAUAACUCUCUGUUGCUUAAGCCACCCAGCAUGUGGUACUUUGUCCUGGCAGCCUCAGCUAACUAAUACAAACCCUAGAGCCAAGAUCCCAAUUCUCUGCCCAGCUCAGGUCCGGCUGAAAGGCUGUGGGCUGUGGUUCACACUUACAAGGCAUAAGGCUCUCUCAGGGACCCCUCUUUCCCAUGAUGGAGACUCUGGAACAAACAAGAAGGGGAGGGAAGAGAAGAGAUUGUUGCAAGGAACUGCAGCCUUCCAGAAGAUAGAUGCUCAUUAGAGCAGUGUUUUCCGACUUAACACGAACUCAGCUGGUAUUGUGCCAGCCAUCAGCUGGUAGAUCCUGCCAUCUGUCCCCAGCAACACAAAUCUGCAACAGCUUCAUUUGAAGAAAUAAUACAGUGACUACAAAUCAGCGCAUUUCAACAUCCUGCAUUGCAGAGCAGGUGGACUAGUUAGGACGGGCUCUGCGUCAUUCCGAGGAGCUGCCGGACCUUCACGCACACCUCCACCUCCCAAACUGGACUUUUCAAAAGAUAUAGAGAACUAGGGGCCAGCCCAGUGGCAUAAUGGUUAGGUCCGCACACUGCUUCAGGGGCCCAAGGUUCGCAGGUUCGGAUCCCAGGCG